rnacentral:rRNA from 1 species
UACGUAGGGGGCAAGCGUUGUCCGGAUUUACUGGGCGUAAAGAGCGCGCAGGCGGUCGUUCAAGUCGCGUGUGAAAGCCCCCGGCUCAACUGGGGAGGGUCACGCGAUACUGAUCGACUCGAAGGCAGGAGAGGGUAGUGGAAUUCCCGGUGUAGCGGUGAAAUGCGUAGAGAUCGGGAGGAACACCAGAGGCGAAGGCGGCGACCUGGACAAGUACUGACACUCAACUACGAAAGCGUGGGGAGCAAACAGG